CCUACGGGGGGCAGCAGUGGGGAAUAUUGGACAAUGGGCGAAAGCCUGGUCCAGCCAUGCCGCGUGUGUGAAGAAGGCCUUCGGGUUGUAAAGCACUUUCAGUGGGGAAGAAAGCCUUGGGGCUAAUACCCUCGAGGAAGGACAUCACCCACAGAAGAAGCACCGGCUAACUCCGUGCCAGCAGCCGCGGUAAUACGGAGGGUGCGAGCGUUAAUCGGAAUUACUGGGCGUAAAGCGCGCGUAGGCGGUCUGAUAAGCCGGUUGUGAAAGCCCCGGGCUCAACCUGGGAACGGCAUCCGGAACUGUCAGGCUAGAGUGCAGGAGAGGAAGGUAGAAUUCCCGGUGUAGCGGUGAAAUGCGUAGAGAUCGGGAGGAAUACCAGUGGCGAAGGCGGCCUUCUGGACUGACACUGACGCUGAGGUGCGAAAGCGUGGGUAGCAAACAGGAUUAGAUACCCGAGUAGUC
rnacentral:rRNA from 1 species